GCUACUGUAGCUCAGUCGGUAUGAGCGCGUCAUUGGUAAUGACGAGGUCACCAGUUCGAUUCUGGCCAGUAGCU
rnacentral:tRNA from 1 species